rnacentral:tRNA from 5 species
GCGGGAGUGGUGGAAUUGGUAGACACGCUGGAUUUAGGUUCCAGUGCCGAAAGGCGUGAGAGUUCGAGUCUCUCCUUCCGCACCA